rnacentral:rRNA from 1 species
AUUGAACGCUGGCGGCAGGCCUAACACAUGCAAGUCGAGCGGCAGCGCGGGGCAACCUGGCGGCGAGCGGCGAACGGGUGAGUAAUACAUGGGAAUCUGCCUGGUAGUGGGGGAUAACUCUGGGAAACUAGAGGUAAUACCGCAUACGUCCUACGGGAGAAAGCGGGGGAUCUUCGGACCUCGCGCUAUCAGAGGAGCCCAUGUCCGAUUAGCUAGUUGGUGAGGUAAAGGCUCACCAAGGCGACGAUCGGUAACUGGUCUGAGAGGAUGGUCAGUCACACUGGAACUGAGACACGGUCCAGACUCCUACGGAGGCAGCAGUGGGGAAUAUUGGACAAUGGGGGCAACCCUGAUCCAGCCAUGCCGCGUGUGUGAAGAAGG